rnacentral:tRNA from 1 species
GUCUGUAGCUCAGCUGGUUAGAGCGCUCGCCUGAUAAGCGGGAGGUCCCUGGUUCGAGUCCAGGCAGG